GACGAACGCUGGCGGCGUGCUUAACACAUGCAAGUCGAACGGAAAGGCCCUGCUUUUGUGGGGUGCUCGAGUGGCGAACGGGUGAGUAACACGUGAGUAACCUGCCCUUGACUUUGGGAUAACUUCAGGAAACUGGGGCUAAUACCGGAUAGGAGCUCCUGCUGCAUGGUGGGGGUUGGAAAGUUUCGGCGGUUGGGGAUGGACUCGCGGCUUAUCAGCUUGUUGGUGGGGUAGUGGCUUACCAAGGCUUUGACGGGUAGCCGGCCUGAGAGGGUGACCGGAGAGAUGGGGGGUGGGCGGCGGCAAAGAGGCGUGCGGGAGGCAGGAGGGGGGGAUAUUGCAGGAGGGGGGGAGGCAGGAGGCGGGGGGGCGGCGGGCGGGAGGGGGGUUGGGGGGUGGCCACCCGGUCGGGUAGGGGAGGAAGGGUGGGGGGGUGGAGGGGGAAAAGAAGCCCGGGGUAAGUACGUGAGAGCAGGCGAGGUAAUAAUCGGAAGAUAGACGUCUGCGC
rnacentral:rRNA from 1 species